GUCACAGGCCGUGUCGCCCCGCGCGGUCUGGCACGGGUCGCAGCGAGCGAGGGAGUGUCCGUCACGUGGCGCUCGCGCGCCGCUGGCGCUGGCCGCAGGGGCAGCUCCGGCCGCAGGGGCAGCUCCGGCCGCAGGUGCCGCUCCGCUCGCUGGAGGCUGUGCCCGCGGGGUUUGCGCUCUGCCUGGCCCCUGGGAAGUGGAACUGUCGCUUUCAGCACCGAGGUCCGUCGCAGCCUUUGGGAGAGCUGUUGGGUGCUGCCAGAAGGCGGCCGCGAGCUGGCGCUUUAGUCCCUCAGCCGUUGCGGGCCGCCUGCGGCUGGGGCGAGGAGGCGAAGCUUGCGGCAGGCGGCUUGAGAAGAGACCUCUGAAAAGUGGUUGUUUCACGUGCACAACCGUCACAGCACAUCAGUGGUGCCUGCACUGGGGAAAAAAAAAGCUGGGUUCCUAACCAAACACAGCUACCCUUAUGCAAACUUCAGUAGUGCAUCUGUAACAAAAAUACGGAUCUGGGAUCACAUUCCACUCUAAAUAUGCUCUGUGAUGAGGAGAGUUUGAGCCAAUACCACACAAGCUUUGGCUGUGGAAUGAACAUGUGGCGGGGCCAUGCUGUUCAAGUAGACAAAAUUCAGAGGUUCCCAGCAGAGUCAGAUGAGUUGUGUUCUGAGCACCCUGGAUCUCAGGUAUCUUUCUCAGCCUGAAAACAGAUUGUGGUCUGGAGUUCGCAAAGCAAGGCAAGACUCUUGACAGUAAUUGAAGAAAACCAGGUGAGUUGAAUUGUGGAGGGAUACAGGAGUUGAGUCAUUACAGCAUUAAUGCUGUAAUAUUAGCAAAAUACAUCACAUAGUGUCCUUCAGUUGUUUCCUGUUGGCAUGGAAGGUUUCAGAAUU